UACAGAGGUCCCGAGCGUUAGGCGGAAUCACUGGGCUUAAAGCGUGUGUAGGCGGGUCCGUAAGUGCCUUGUGAAAUCCCACCGCUCAACGGUGGAACUGCUGGGCAUACUGCGGGUCUUGAGCCAGCUAGGGGCGACCGGAACAGACGGUGGAGCGGUGAAAUGCGUAGAUAUCGUCUGGAACGCCGAAGGUGAAAACAGGUCGCUGGGGCUGCGCUGACGCUGAGAUACGAAAGCCAGGGGAGCAAACGGG
rnacentral:rRNA from 1 species